GCCCGUCUCCUUUUCUCCGUUCGCCUGUUACGUCAUCGUCCUCAUUCGGAUAGGUACUAUGACUAACAGAGCGCACGAGGAAAAUCUUCGGAGCU
rnacentral:pre_miRNA from 1 species